rnacentral:rRNA from 1 species
GACGAACCGUGCGAACGUUGUUCGGAAUCACUGGGCUUAAAGGGCGCGUAGGCGGGCAUUCAAGUCGGUGGUGAAAUCCUCCAGCCUAACUGGAGAAGAGCUGUCGAUACUGGAUGUCUCGAGGGGUGCAGGGGUCUGCGGAACUUCUGGUGGAGCGGUGAAAUGCGUUGAUAUCAGAAGGAACGCCGGUGGCGAAAGCGACGGACUGGACCUUUUCUGACGCUGAGGCGCGAAAGCUAGGGGAGCAAAGCGGGG